GCUGAACCUGCUGCUGAACACGCACACUCCGGUCGUUGGAAGUCACCCACGUCGAGGACCUGGGAGUCGGCUCGGCAGGUAGAGCCAGACUGGUGUCCUCCAGCAUGAACGAGUCCUGCGCAGGUGGGAGCGACCUGACGUGCUGACAGUGAGGGGGCGGGGCUACAGGCGACGCACCUGAGGUGUCGGGUGUCGGCUGUCGCUGCUGCCUGGUAUCGGUUCACUCAGGUUAAUGUUACUUAUCACUACUACAAUCAGUGUUGAAUGUAAUUCCCAGUAUGGAGCCAGCUGUCCUCCACUUAUACACUCUCCUGUCACAUGACUGUUGCUAUGGUUUCCGCAGAAAAAAAACACACCCUAAAUCAACAUAUUCUACAGUGUGGUGAAAAUGACAUGUAACCACA